rnacentral:rRNA from 1 species
AGAGUUUGAUCCUGGCUCAGGAUGAACGCUGGCGGCGUGCUUAACACAUGCAAGUCGAACGAUCCUUCGGGAUAGUGGCGGACGGGUGAGUAACGCGUGGGAAUCUGCCCUUAGGAGGGGGAUAACGGCUGGAUGCGGCCGCUAAUACCCCAUAUGCCGAGAGGUGAAACGAAUUUCGCCUGAGGAUGAGCCCGCGUCUGAUUAGCUAGUUGGUGGGGUAAAGGCCUACCAAGGCGACGAUCAGUAGCUGGUCUGAGAGGAUGAUCAGCCACACUGGGACUGAGACACGGCCCAGACUCCUACGGGAGGCAGCAGUGGGGAAUUUUCCGCAAUGGGCGAAAGCCUGACGGAGCAACGCCGCGUGAGGGAUGAAGGCCUCUGGGCUGUAAACCUCUUUUCUCAAGGAAGAAGAACUGACGGUACUUGAGGAAUAAGCCACGGCUAAUUCCGUGCCAGCAGCCGCGGUAAUACGGGAGAGGCAAGCGUUAUCCGGAAUUAUUGGGCGUAAAGCGUCCGCAGGCGGCCUUGUAAGUCUGUUGUUAAAGCGUGGAGCUCAACUCCAUUUAAGCAAUGGAAACUACAAGGCUGGAGUGUGGUAGGGGCAGAGGGAAUUCCCGGUGUAGCGGUGAAAUGCGUAGAUAUCGGGAAGAACACCAGUGGCGAAGGCGCUCUGCUGGGCCAUAACUGACGCUCAUGGACGAAAGCCAGGGGAGCGAAAGGGAUUAGAUACCCCUGUAGUCCUGGCCGUAAACGAUGAACACUAGGUGUCGGGGGAAUCGACCCCCUCGGUGUCGUAGCCAACGCGUUAAGUGUUCCGCCUGGGGAGUACGCACGCAAGUGUGAAACUCAAAGGAAUUGACGGGGGCCCGCACAAGCGGUGGAGUAUGUGGUUUAAUUCGAUGCAACGCGAAGAACCUUACCAGGGUUUGACAUCCUGCGAAUCCCUUGGAAACGAGGGAGUGCCUUCGGGAGCGCAGUGACAGGUGGUGCAUGGCUGUCGUCAGCUCGUGUCGUGAGAUGUUGGGUUAAGUCCCGCAACGAGCGCAACCCACGUCUUUAGUUGCCAGCAUUCAGUUGGGCACUCUAGAGAGACCGCCGGUGAUAAACCGGAGGAAGGUGUGGAUGACGUCAAGUCAUCAUGCCCCUUACAUCCUGGGCUACACACGUACUACAAUGCUACGGACAAAGGGCAGCAAGCUCGCGAGAGUUAGCAAAUCCCAUAAACCGUGGCUCAGUUCAGAUCGUAGGCUGCAACUCGCCUACGUGAAGGAGGAAUCGCUAGUAAUCGCAGGUCAGCAUACUGCGGUGAAUACGUUCCCGGGCCUUACACACCGCCCGUCACACCAUGGAAGUUGGCCAUGCCCGAAGUCGUUACUCCAACCCUUGUGGAGGAGGACGCCGAAGGUGGGGCUGAUGACUGGGGUGAAGUC